rnacentral:tRNA from 1 species
AGGCCCGUAGCUCAAACGGUUAGAGCACGCGAUCUAUAAUCGCGAGGUUGAGCGUUCAAAUCGCCCCGGGCCUACCA